rnacentral:rRNA from 1 species
CCCUUAGACGUUCUGGGCCGCACGCGCGCUACACUGACCAGUGCAACAAGCAUCCGUCCUUGGCCGACAGGCUCGGGCAAUCUUUGAACGCUGGUCGUGAUGGGGAUAGACUUUUGCAAUUUUUGGUCUUCAACGAGGAAUUCCUAGUAAACGCAAGUCAUCAACUUGCAUUGAUUACGUCCCUGCCCUUUGUACACACCGCCCGUCGCACCUACCGAUUGAAUGGUCCGGUGAAGCCUCCGGAUUGGCGCGCACCUCGGUGCCGCCGAGAAGUUGGCUAAACUUUACCAUUUAGAGGAAGGUGAAGUCGUAACA